GACGUAGGGCGCGAGCGUUGUCCGGAUUUAUUGGGCGUAAAGAGCUCGUAGGCGGCUUGUCGCGUCGGCUGUGAAAACCCGCGGCUCAACUGUGGGCGGGCAGCUGAUACGGGCAGGCUGGAGUUCGGUAGGGGAGACUGGAAUUCCCGGUGUAGCGGUGAAAUGCGUAGAUAUCGAGAGGAACACCAGUGGCGAAGGCGAGUCUCUGGACGACACCUGACACUGGGGCACGAAAGCUAGGGGGGCAAACAGG
rnacentral:rRNA from 1 species